GGUAGUGUAGCAUAGUGGUUAAGGAGCAGGACUUGUAAUCGUAAGGUUGCCGGUUCGAUUCCCCACGGGGGCACUGCUG